GGGGGUGAGACCUCUGGGACCCCACCCAGGGGUUUGGGGAGGGCAUUUGGAAAGAGACCCCCCCCCCCAUUCCAACAAGGGGGGAGUGAGACCCCCGGAGCCCCCAGACUGGGGGGGUGUGACUGAGACCCCCACCAGAAAAACAGCUGGGGGGGUUGGGGGUCUCAAUCCACUCCCCAGGAGCCCCCACCCCCAAAUAACUGCGGCCCCCCAAAACAAGUGCCCAACUCCCCUGGGGCAAAACCCCCUGGGCGACGCAGGGAGGGAAUUUGCCCCUACCCCAAAUUUUGGGGAAUUUUGCCCCAAAAGAAGGGGGUUCAUAGGGGGAUUAAUAUUGGGGGGGGCCCAGAGCGCUCCUGGGGGGGCGGAACAUUCCAGCACUGUGGGGGGUGUGGGCCUGGCACCAAGUAGAGGAAAAAAAGCCUAAAAAUAGCAAAGCAUCCCAAUUCUGACCCAAAAAAGAGGUUGGAGGGGGGAGUCUCUUCCCUGCCCCACCCCUGAGACAUUCCAGGGUUCCCCCAAAUUCCCGGGGAGGGGAGGGGAUGAGUUUGUUGAGGGGGGUCUGGAAUGGUGGGAAGGGAGUGGGAAAAUGGGGAGGGGGUCCCGUGGGGUUUGGGGAGGAUCCUUCUGGAUUUUGGUGUCCCUGUCCUGGAAAUGCCUCUAAAGGAACUGGGAUGGCUCUGGGGGAUCCCUGGGGGUUUUGGGGGUGUGUCUGGGGCUCGGGGGUCCCGUGGGUCGGGGGUCCUGUGGGUCGGGGGUCCCGUGGGUCGGGGGUCCCGUGACUCAGGGAUCCCCUGGGUCAGGGGUCCUCUGGCUCAGGGGGGGAUGGUCCUGUGACUCAGGGGUCCCCUGGCUCAAGUGUCCCAUGGCUUGGGGGUCCUGUGACUCAGGGGGGUCCCCUGGCUCUGGGGUCCCAUGGCUUGGGGUUCCCGUGGCUCGGGGGGGGUUCCCGUGGCUCGGGGGUCCCGUGGGUCAGGGGUCCCAUCACUCAGGGGUUCCUGUGGCUCAGGGGUCCCGUGGCUCGGGGGUCCCGUGGGUCAGGGGUCCCCUGGCUCUGGGGUCCCGUGUCUCAGGGGGGUCCCCUGGCUCUGGGGUCCCGUGGCUCGGGGGUCCCGUGGGUCAGGGGUCCCAUCGCUCAGGGGUCCCGUGUCUCAGGGGGGUCCCCUGGCUUGGGGGUUCCCUGGCUCGGGGGAGGUCCCGUGGCUCGGGGGUCCUGUGGCUCCGGGGGGGUCCCCUGGCUCGGGGGGGGUCCCAUGGCUCGGGGGUUCCCGUGGGUCAAGGGUCCCAUUGCUCAGGGGUCCCGUGGCUCGGGGGUCCCCUGGCUCGGGGGUCCCGUGGCUCCGGGGGGGUCCCGUGGCUCGGGGGUUCCCGUGGGUCAGGGGUCCCAUCGCUCGGGGGUCCCUGUGGCUCGGGGGGGGUCCCAUGGCUCGGGGGGGUCCCCUGGCUUGGGGAUUCCCGUGGCUUGGGGAGGGUCCCGUGGGUCAGGGGAGGUCCCGUGGGUCAGGGGUCCCAUCGCUC
rnacentral:lncRNA from 1 species